GACGAACGCUGGCGGCGUGCCUAAUACAUGCAAGUCGAACGCAGUGGGGACGGGUUAGUAACACGUGGGUAACCUCCCAUCAGAGGGGAUAACACUUGGCAACAGGUGCUAAACCGAUACUGAUUGAUGGACCCGCGGUGCAUUAGCUAGUUGGGUAGGUAACGGCUCACCAAGGCCACGAUGCAUAGCCUGACGGAGAGGGAGGUCGGCCACACUGGGACUGAGAACAGGCCCAGACUCCUAAGGGAGGCAGGAGUAGGGAAUCUUCGGCAAUGGACGAAAGUCUGACAGAGCAAAGCCGGGGUAGUGAAGAAGGUUUUCGGAUCGGAAAACUAUGUUGUUAGAGAAGAGGUAUCUAACAAGAAAGCCACGGCUAACUACGGGCCAGCAGCCGCGGUAAUUA
rnacentral:rRNA from 1 species